CGCCGCCGCCAGUCAUCGCCGAGGUUUCUCGGCGCCGCAGCGGUUGAAACGACUCCCACGCUGCUCAAACUCCUCCGUACCGGCGCUCUCGCGCUCGCCGGCGGCUCCGUCAAACAGGGAAUUUUCAGUCGGACAACAUUUCAUAAAGGCAUGGCUACCCGUAAUGCUAGUACCAAGAGUGCAAAGAAGAAGGAAGUGAAGAAGGAAACUGGGCUUGGUCUAACCCACAAGAAGGAUGUGAAUUUUGGAGAAUGGUAUUCGGAGGUUGUUGUUAGCAGUGAGAUGAUUGAAUACUAUGACAUUUCAGGCUGCUACAUCUUAAGGCCUUGGACUAUGGCUAUUUGG
rnacentral:misc_RNA from 1 species